UGGGGAAUUUUGGACAAUUGGGCGAAAGCCUGAUCCAGCAAUGCCGCGUGUGUGAAGAAGGCCUUCGGGUUGUAAAGCACUUUUGUCCGGAAAGAAAUCCUUGGCUCUAAUACAGUCGGGGGAUGACGGUACCGGAAGAAUAAGCACCGGCUAACUACGUGCCAGCAGCCGCGGUAAUACGUAGGGUGCAAGCGUUAAUCGGAAUUACUGGGCGUAAAGCGUGCGCAGGCGGUUUGCUAAGACCGAUGUGAAAUCCCCGGGCUCAACCUGGGAACUGCAUUGGUGACUGGCAGGCUAGAGUAUGGCAGAGGGGGGUAGAAUUCCACGUGUAGCAGUGAAAUGCGUAGAGAUGUGGAGGAAUACCGAUGGCGAAGGCAGCCCCCUGGGCCAAUACUGACGCUCAUGCACGAAAGCGUGGGGAGCAAACAGGAUUAGAUACCCUGGUAGUCCACGCCCUAAACGAUGUCAACUAGUUGUUGGGGAUUCAUUUCCUUAGUAACGUAGCUAACGCGUGAAGUUGACCGCCUGGGGAGUACGGUCGCAAGAUUAAAACUCAAAUGAAUUGACGGGGUCAUAGCUG
rnacentral:rRNA from 1 species